GGUCGCUGCCGAAAGGCAGAGGAAAGUCCGGACUCCACAGGGCGGAGGAUCCGUCUGUCAAGGACGGAAGGCGCGGGGCGAUCCCGCGCGAUGGAAAGUGCCACAGAGAACAGACAGCCCGCAAGGGUGAUGGUGAAAGGGCGGUGUAAGAGACCACCGGCGCGGCUGAAACGACGCGCGCAGGGCAAACCCUCCUCGGAGCAAGAUCAAAUAGGGAAUCGACGGGCGGCCCGUCCGGCGGCGUCCUGCAACGGAUGCCUGAGAUUCCGGGUUGAUUGCUCAGAUGAAUGAUCGGAGUUCCCGCAAGGGGAUGAACAGAAUCCGGCUUAUUCGCCG
rnacentral:RNase_P_RNA from 1 species